UACGGAGGGUGCAAGCGUUAUCCGGAUUCACUGGGUUUAAAGGGUGCGUAGGCGGACAGGUAAGUCAGUGGUGAAAUCUCCGAGCUUAACUCGGAAACUGCCUUUGAUACUCUCUGUCUUGAAUAUUGUGGAGGUGAGCGGAAUAUGUCAUGUAGCGGUGAAAUGCUUAGAUAUGACAUAGAACACCAAUUGCGAAGGCAGCUCGCUACACAUAUAUUGACUCUGAGGCACGAAAGCGUGGGGAUCAAACAGG
rnacentral:rRNA from 1 species